AGUGAGCGGCAAAGCUCAAUUUGAAAUCUAGCACCUUCGGUGUUCGAGUUGUAAUUUGAAGAUAGUUUCCUUGAGUAGGGCUCUAGCUAUGGUCCCUGGAAACAGGCGUCAUAAAAGGGUAAAACCCCCGACUGAUGUGGAGACCAUUCUUUGUGGGAGUCUAUCCAAAAAUCCAGUUG
rnacentral:rRNA from 1 species